GCAUAUCAAUAAGCGGAGGAAAAGAAAAUAACAAUGAUUUCCCUAGUAACGGCGAGUGAAGAGGAAAGAGCUCAAAGUUGGAACCUGUUUGGCUUAGCUAAACCGGAUUGUAAACUGUAGAAGUGUUUUCCAGACACGCCUGGUAAAAAAGUCCUUUGGAACAGGGCAUCAUAGAGGGUGAGAAUCCCGUCUUUGGCCAGAGCUGUUGUCUUUUGUGAUACAUUUUCAAAGAGUCAGGUUGUUUGGGAAUGCAGCCUAAAUUGGGUGGUAAAUCUCACCUAAAGCUAAAUAUUUGCGAGAGACCGAUAGCGAACAAGUACCGUGAGGGAAAGAUGAAAAGAACUUUGAAAAGAGAGUUAAACAGUAUGUGAAAUUGUUAAAAGGGAACCGUUUGGAGCCAGACUGGCUUGAUCGUAAUCAAUCUAGGCUUCGGCCUGGAUGCACUUGCGGUCUAUGCCUGCCAACGACAGUUUUAUUUGGGGGAAAAAAUUAUUAGGAAUGUGGCCCUUCGGGGUGUUAUAGCCUUUUAAAAAAUACCCUGGAUUGGACUGAGGAACGCAGUGAAUGCCUUUAGGCAAGAUUGCUGGGCGCUUUCGUUAAUACAUGCUAGAAUUUCUGCUUUGGGUGGUGCUAGUGUGUAGCGAUGGAACUCGCUUGGUAUAUUUUUUAUUCGCUUAGGUUGUUGGCUUAAUGACUCUAAAUGACCCGUCUUGAAACACGGACCAAGGAGUCCACCAUAAGUGCAAGUAUUUGGGUGCCAAACCCAUAUGCGUAAGGAAACUGAUUGAUACGAAACCCUUGAGGUGGCAGUAUCACCCGGCGUUGACGUUUUAUACUGAACUGACCGCGGUAAAGCACUUAUGAUGGGACCCGAAAGAUGGUGAACUAUGCCUGAAUAGGGUGAAGCCGGAGGAAACUCCGGUGGAGGCUCGUAGCGAUUCUGACGUGCAAAUCGAUCGUCAAAUUUGGGUAUAGGGGCGAAAGACUAAUCGAACCAUCUAGUAGCUGGUUCCUGCCGAAGUU
rnacentral:rRNA from 1 species